rnacentral:rRNA from 1 species
GAUGAACGCUAGCGGCAGGCCUAACACAUGCAAGUCGAGGGAGAAGCCCUUUCGGGGGCAGAAACCGGCGCACGGGUGCGUAACGCGUAUGCAACCUACCUUUCACAGGGGGAUAGCCCGAAGAAAUUUGGAUUAAUACCCCAUAAUAUUAUUGGAUGGCAUCAUUUGAUAAUUAAAACUGCGGUGGUGAAAGAUGGGCAUGCGUCCUAUUAGCUAGUUGGAGUGGUAACGGCACCCCAAGGCUACGAUAGGUAGGGGUCCUGAGAGGGAGAUCCCCCACACUGGUACUGAGACAGGGACCAGACUCCUACGGGAGGCAGCAGUGAGGAAUAUUGGUCAAUGGUCGGAAGACUGAACCAGCCAUGCCGCGUGCAGGAAGAAUGCCUUAUGGGUUGUAAACUGCUUUUAUAUGGGAAGAAUAAGGCGUACGUGUACGUGAUGACGGUACCAUAUGAUAG